rnacentral:rRNA from 1 species
AUUAGUAUUAGUUAUUUUCUUGAAAAUUAAAGAUUUUGGCGGUAUUUUAGUCUAUUCAGAGGAACCUGUUCUGUAAUUGAUAGUCCACGAUUUACUUUACUUGAUUAAUUUGUAUAUCGUCGUUAUUUGAAUAUUUUACAAGAAUAAUAAUUUUCAACUUUUUUUAUAAAAAUAGAAGUCAGAUCAAGGUGCAGUUUAUGUUUAAGAAGAAAUGGGUUACAAUAAAUUUAUUUAGACAGUUUGGUUAAUGAAAUUUUUCUGAUAAGGUGGGAAAGUAAUAUUUUAAAAUAUUUAAUGUGAUUAUAGCUCUAAAAUAUG